rnacentral:rRNA from 1 species
AGUGAACGCUGGCGGCGUGCCUAAUACAUGCAAGUCGAACGGAGUGGCGCACGGGUGAGUAAUGUAUAGCUAAUCUGCCCUAUACUAGAGGACAACAGUUGGCAACGGCUGCUAAUACUCUAUAGUUUAGGAGGAGGGUAUAUUGUAUCAGCUAGUUGGUGAGGUAAUGGCUCACCAAGGGUAUGACGCAUAACUGGUCGGAGAGGAUGAUCAGUAACACUGGAAGUGAGACACGGUCCAGACUCCUACCGGAAGGAGCAGUAGUGAAUAGUACUCAAGGGGGGAAACCCUGAAGCAGCAACGGCGCGUGGAGGAUGACACUUGUCGGAGCGUAAACUCCGUUUGUUAGGGAAGCGGUACCUAACGAAUAAGCACCGGCUAACUCCGUGCCAGCAGCCGCGGUAAUUC